GACGAACGCUGGCGGCGUGCCUAAUACAUGCAAGUUGAGCGCUGAAGGUUGGUACUUGUACCAACUGGAUGAGCAGCGAACGGGUGAGUAACGCGUGGGGAAUCUGCCUUUGAGCGGGGGACAACUUUUGGAAACGAAUGCUAAUACCGCAUAAUAACUUUAACCACAUGUUUUAAGAUUGAAAGAUGCAAUUGCAUCACUCAAUGAUGAUCCCGCGUUGUAUUUGCUAGUUGGUAAGGUAAAGGCUAACCAAGGCGAUGUUACAUAGCCGACCUGAGAGGGGGAUGGGCAAAACGGGAAUGAGACAACGGCCAAGACCCCACCGGAAGGAGGAGUAGGGAAACUUUGGGAAAGGAGGAAAGGCUUACCGGGCAACGCCGGGGGAGGGAAGAAGGGUUUCGGAACGUAAAAAUCUGUUGGUAGAGAAGAAACAUAGUGGGAGUGGAAAGCGCAUGAAGUGACGGUAACUAACCAGAAAGGGACGGCUAACUACGUG
rnacentral:rRNA from 1 species